rnacentral:rRNA from 1 species
GGGUUGUGAGGUUAAGCGACUAAGCGUACACGGUGGAUGCCCUGGCAGUCAGAGGCGAUGAAGGGCGUACUAAUCUGCGAUAAGCGCCGGUAAGGUGAUAUGAACCGUUAUAACCGGCGAUACCCGAAUGGGGAAACCCAGUGUGAUUCGUCACACUAUCAUUAACUGAAUCCAUAGGUUAAUGAGGCGAACCGGGGGAACUGAAACAUCUAAGUACCCCGAGGAAAAGAAAUCAACCGAGAUUCCCCCAGUAGCGGCGAGCGAACGGGGAGGAGCCCAGAGCCUGAAUCAGCAUGUGUGUUAGUGGAAGCGUCUGGAAAGGCGCGCGAUACAGGGUGACAGCCCCGUACACAAAAGCGCAUGUGCUGUGAGCUCGAUGAGUAGGGCGGGACACGUGGUAUCCUGUCUGAAUAUGGGGGGACCAUCCUCCAAGGCUAAAUACUCCUGACUGACCGAUAGUGAACCAGUACCGUGAGGGAAAGGCGAAAAGAACCCCGGCGAGGGGAGUGAAAAAGAACCUGAAACCGUGUACGUACAAGCAGUGGGAGCACCCUUUGGGUGUGACUGCGUACCUUUUGUAUAAUGGGUCAGCGACUUAUAUUCUGUAGCAAGGUUAACCGAAUAGGGGAGCCGGAGGGAAACCGAGUCUUAACCGGGCGUUAAGUUGCAGGGUAUAGACCCGAAACCCGGUGAUCUAGCCAUGGGCAGGUUGAAGGUUGGGUAACACUAACUGGAGGACCGAACCGACUAAUGUUGAAAAAUUAGCGGAUGACCUGUGGCUGGGGGUGAAAGGCCAAUCAAACCGGGAGAUAGCUGGUUCUCCCCGAAAGCUAUUUAGGUAGCGCCUCGUGAAUUCAUCUCCGGGGGUAGAGCACUGUUUCGGCUAGGGGGCCAUCCCGGCUUACCAACCCGAUGCAAACUGCGAAUACCGGAGAAUGUUAUCACGGGAGACACACGGCGGGUGCUAACGUCCGUCGUGAAGAGGGAAACAACCCAGACCGCCAGCUAAGGUCCCAAAGUCAUGGUUAAGUGGGAAACGAUGUGGGAAGGCCCAGACAGCCAGGAUGUUGGCUUAGAAGCAGCCAUCAUUUAAAGAAAGCGUAAUAGCUCACUGGUCGAGUCGGCCUGCGCGGAAGAUGUAACGGGGCUAAACCAUGCACCGAAGCUGCGGCAGCGACACUGUGUGUUGUUGGGUAGGGGAGCGUUCUGUAAGCCUGCGAAGGUGGCCUGUGAGGG